CUGUGUAAAGUACCUGUCCUUCUUCAAGUAAUACCGGACCCUAAAAGAAGCAUAGGGCUGCAACAGUGAGGACUUUGCGUAUUUAUGUUACUGACACAGGUGAUGCAAAACUGAAUAAAGUACACUGAAGACUUGUAAACUGUACUUCUCUCGCCUUCUUUGAUGGAAGUGACCUCUGCCUGAAAGCAGGGAAGACGUGGAAUAACUCCUCUGACUUAGAAAUAUGGAAGAUGUGAAGAACUGAGGCCAACUCAUCUUGUAUCAAGACGGGUGGAAACUCCCAGCCAACCAGGAAUGAUGGAAAGAUUGAGUGAAAGUCAGAAUUGGAAGCUUACACACUGUCACUGACUCCUGUUGUACUGCAGCUGCCUAUCAAGUUACCAUCCAUAUGGAAAGUACCCAUCAAGCAAUAUACCAACUGAAGAGAAGUAUGUGUGCGUACUAUUAACUUCUUUUGGGGCACAUAUAAGAUUCCAGAGAAAAAGAAAAUUGCGUGACAAAGGCCACCAUGCUAGAUAAAACUUCUUUAAGGCACCUGAGAGAGAGAGAGAAAGAACACCUCCAGAGAGCAGCCUGCUGAUAGAACCUACUUCUAACAAUAUGCUCUUUGUGGUUGGCUCUUCAAGGACUGGAAUGGUCAAAUGAAGAAGGGGAGAUGGUCCUGGAGUUGGUAAUGAGGCGAAAUAAAGACAACAUGAUGGAAAUCUCUAAAAACAAGUGUUCAUGUCACUUGUUCUCUCUAUCUGCUGUCUACAAAGAAACAUUUCUGCAAGUGAGGCCACUGCUGAACCUGAAAAUCAUGGAGGACAUUAGUUACCCACAACAGGACAGGCAAUCUGUGAGCAAUAUGCCUGAGCAGAUAGCGGGGAUGGGGAGGACAGGGCUGAGGAAUGGAAUGCUGCACCAUGGGCUAUGUAUUGAGUGGGUAUUUCAAACCAAGUACCGUGCUGUACAAUGAUUAACAGCAGAAGUACCUUCUGCUUGCACUGCAGAGUGGUGUGGCUGCACUUCAGUUUGAUAUAUAGGUAGCUAAAUCAGUAUGAUUAGACUGUGCAAAUUAAAUUGAUGUAACAUCAUAUAGGCAUUGCCUGGAGAAGAAAGAAUUUGAUUUUCAGAAAUGCUGGAUACUUGCAAGUUCAGCUGCCUAAGGAUUGCUUUGAAAAAAUUGAGUCUUUGGUGUGGAGCCUUUGUUUAGCCAGACAAAGAUAUAAUUUUUAAGGUAAAGGACAAGGAAGAAAGAAAGAAUUUAUAAGAAGCUAUGAGAAGUAAAGACGAAAAAAUUCUCAAAAUAAUAUUUAGACUCAGGCAAAUUCUAUGAAAUGGAAUAAAACCACAACAUGGCAGCUCAUAUCCAGAGUAAAAUUCACUUUAAUAAAGUUGUUGUUAGUAUUUUUAUGAAAGUAUUAAAUGAAUAUUUAGGAAAUUGAUAUUAUCACAGGAAAUUUGUCACUUGGCAGUCACUACUUGACAUUCAGUUAUUUUCAGUUUACGGUCCGAUACAAAAUUAUUCUGAUAGCCACCAUUAAUUUUCUAGAGUAUUACAAAGAGCACUAUUUGCACUCCUUACUAGAAGCCUUAAAGGAAAGAACAAGUACAAGUACUUUCUUUCGCCCAGAAGUCAGCUCUCAAGGCUGCAGUUAGGGAACUACCAUUUUUAUAUACCAUCAACUGUAAAAUCUCAGAUUCCAUUAAAAGUAUCUAGUGUUUUUGCCUGUGCUUUUGGUAUGGAAAUGUUUCAAAUUCAGAUUACUCCUAGAACAUCAAGAUAAAAGGGAAAGAGACUUACCUCAUUUAAAUGUAAUUAAUGAAUUGUUAACUCUGAAACCUAAUGAUGACAUUAA